rnacentral:lncRNA from 1 species
CCAACUUACUUAACACAGGUGUCUUUACGGGCCUUGUUUGGGUUUAGCAGGAAUCGCCGCCGGAGCAACUGGAAGCGGAAAUAAAAUUCUGUACUUCGCCAUGUGUACCGGGAUGAUCUAGCGUUUGUAGCCUCUAUUUCGGCUCAUUACUCUUAUGUUACUGAACAAAAUUCAGUUAGGAACAGUGGCUGACUACAGAUGUAGAACGCCAGGUGGGUCAAGAACGUCUGGAGACAGUGUGUUCUCUCUGUACCACUGAAAAUUGUAUAAGUGUGUACAACUGACACUACAGUGUUCGCACUCGUGGAUUAUGUGCCCAGAACCCCUGAAUUAGGCGACCGAAGAAGGAUACGUCUGCAUCAAUGGCACUGAAAGGCGAUCGUUGCCAGCGUGUCUUGCGUCCGCAGCGUGGCGAUACGCCGGAAGGAAUUACCGACAGAGAACUCGUGCAACUAAGGUUUUGUUCGUUUGACCGAAAGUCGUCGGUUUCUGGUGCUGCAGGCAACCACCGACAUGAAUGUGUCAACUGAGAAAAGCAAGUUAAUAGGUCAGGCAGCAGGGUAAAGCUCUGUUUCAUGUGCAGACGCCGAAUACUUCGAUACAAGAAAAUGCUGACUGUUGGUGGCGCUCGUCGUCUCCAUAUAUUUUGCCGGCGAAGAGUGGUUCGUGCAGAUUGUUUUGUUGCUCGCGACACUGCUAGUCGACUGUACCGUGUUCCAGUUCACAUCUGAACCGCUGACUACGCAGUUGUAGACGCGGAACAACACGGAGCAUCCGCUAUCCAUCUGUAGCAGCCCCGGCGAUAGCUGUGUUCACAAGAAUUUUUGUUCGAUUUUCCUGGAAAACCCCCAUCUUGUGGGAACACGCGCGUGCUUCCUCUGGAUGUGCAAGGGUGGUUCGGUCGGUAGACUCCUGCAAGACUCUUUCGAUUUUCUCUCACUGUUUUGAACGUUUUUAUGCACGGUGGAGAAAUGUAUCGAAACCAACAGAAAUAUUGCAAGAAACGACGAACGCGGCACACUCUGUGGAGGCAGCAAUCGAGCC